rnacentral:sRNA from 13 species
ACAGUGAAGCAUUCCGCGAUCACCCUUGAUCUUCGACUGAUUUGAAAUGGCCAAAGCAACAAGUUUGGGAAUCCUCUAUGGGCUACAAAUCACCGCGGAAACUUGGCCCGCAAUGUGCUUUUUAAAAGGGCACUACUAUGAACGUAUACACAUACGUAGGGUGUGACAAAUAUUGUAUUGAGUGACAAAUCCAGCACCAACCGUUGACGGCCGUUGAAAUAAUUGUGGCGGGCGAAGACUUCAGACUAGCCAAGGAAUCUACAGAAGUCAAGGGAGGUUGCCCUGGAAGAAUCCUGAUCCAAAGAACGUGGCCCUCCCUGAACUGACUCACCGGCGGUUAGGGAUCGCCUCGGGGCAGAUGGUGACUCCUUAGUGUAGUUGAAAAGAUCCCGAGCCGAGUCGAUUUGACCUUGUCCGUCC